rnacentral:snRNA from 1 species
AUCCUUGCCUGGCGCCGGGGCCUCGUUCAUCACCGAAGAUGAGCCACCAGGGCGAGGUAGGAGCGUUGCACUGCGCUCCCGUUGACCCCUGCCACUACCCCGAAAUGCGGCAGAUGGUGCAUGCAAAUUGCUUUAAUCCGGU